rnacentral:rRNA from 1 species
UACGGGGGGGCAAGCGUUGUUCGGAAUUACUGGGCGUAAAGGGCUCGUAGGCGGCCAACUAAGUCAGACGUGAAAUCCCUCGGCUUAACCGGGGAACUGCGUCUGAUACUGGAUGGCUUGAGAUUGGGAGAGGGAUGCGGAAUUCCAGGUGUAGCGGUGAAAUGCGUAGAUAUCUGGAGGAACACCGGUGGCGAAGGCGGCAUCCUGGACCAACACUGACGCUGAGGAGCGAAAGCCAGGGGAGCAAACGGGG